GGCUAGCGGCAGGCUUAACACAUGCAAAGUUCGAGGGGGUAGAAGCAGCUUGCUGCUUUGAGACCGGCGCACGGGUGCGUAACGCGUAUGCAAUCUACCUUUUACAGAGGGAUAGCCCAGAGAAAUUUGGAUUAAUACCUCAUAGUAUGUGAGAAUCGCAUGGUUUUCACAUUAAAGUUCCAACGGUAAAAGAUGAGCAUGCGUCCCAUUAGCUAGAUGGUAAGGUAACGGCUUACCAUGGCGACGAUGGGUAGGGGUCCUGAGAGGGAGAUCCCCCACACUGGUACUGAGACACGGACCAGACUCCUACGGGAGGCAGCAGUGAGGAAUAUUGGACAAUGGGCGCAAGCCUGAUCCAGCUAUGCCGCGUGCAGGAUGACGGUCCUAUGGAUUGUAAACUGCUUUUGUACAGGAAGAAACACUCCCUCGUGAGGGAGCUUGACAGUACUGUAAGAAUAAGGAUCGGCUAACUCCGUG
rnacentral:rRNA from 1 species